UGUGCUCGCCGAGCUGGUAAAACACAAGCCCAAGGCCACAGACGAGCAACUGAAAACAGUGAUCGGAAAAUUCACUGCUAUGGUGGAGAAGUGCUGUACCGAAACAGACCACGAGGCCUGCUUUGGACUGGAGGGCCCCAUACUUGUUAAGGAAGCUGAAGCUGUCUUGAUUUAAAAACAACAGCUGCACGCAUCUCCGCCCAUCAUGAGACAUGAAGAUCUGGAUUUGGUUCAUCGAUAUUUCUAUUAUGUUGGUGUAAAACCAACAACACUCUAAGAAACACACAUGUUUGAAUAUUGUCCUCUUCUUUGUGUGCUGAAAUUAAUAAAAUUGAAACAUUCUGA